rnacentral:lncRNA from 1 species
UUUGUGUGCAUUAAUUGCAAGUGUAGACAUGCCCACUGGCUGUGAUUCAAUACUCGGUGACCUCUAAGCAAGGGAUGUGACACUAACUUUGUAGCUUUAGGUUUGCAAAAUAAUUCCUCUGCAGCACAAAUAGCUUUAGAUCACAUCAUCACAUGUGUGAGGAAAAAUACUAAGGUUUCAAAGCUAAGGAACAGAAUCUAAAGGUAAGGAAAUUAAGGCAAAUCUGUUCUGCAGAAAGCUAACCAGGUAGAGUAGGUGCUACAGGAUCACACAGAUCAUUUCUGGAAAAGGAGGAAAAAUAACAUGGUAAAAUUAAGAGUAAGCAAAAGAGUUGCAUCGGAUUUCUUUUCUGAUCUUAUAACUGUACAUACUCUCAUCUUUCCCUGUCUCUCCUAACUCAUUUUAAAAUAGAAGAUAUAAAUGGAAUGAGAUGCUAAGGAGAAAGAACAGAGACCCGGGUAAGAUGAAGAGAAGUUACAGGGAACAUUGCAAGGUCCUAUAAACUGAAAGUCAAAACCGCUUGGGAGAAGAAUGCAGAACAAUUAUUUGGGUGUUUCGACAGGUUUCCAGCUAUGUGUCAUCUCUUUGUUUUACAGCACAUUUUUAUAUUAGUUCCUAAAUUCAAGCAUAUUAAAUCUGCAUUUGCUUUUACAGACUGUCAGCACUUCUAGAGCUAUAUUUAAUGAUGGGCACAGUGCAGCUGUUCUCUCAGUGCAAUCCACUCUAGCCCUAUGUGUACUGCCAAGUCCUGUGUCUGGUUUCCGGCUGGCUGCUUGGGUGUAUUUGAAGAAUACGAAGAAAACAAUCUCCAGUCUUCCAGUUUUGCAAAUACAGUCUGUCUCCCCACAUGGCUAUGCUGCCUGCAGUCUGAGGGCCAAAAGCUCCAAGGUCCUGCACAGCUCCUGAUCUCCCAUGCACUCUGGAUGCACCCAGCUGUUACUGGACACAUACUGCCAGGAGUGCUUCAUGGAGUCUUUGCCUCCUUUUGAAUGAUCUAGUGCCUAAAGCUUGCCAGCCAGAUUAUUCAACUGAGAGAAUUCAGCAAUGAGCCACCACUGACAAGAGGACAGAAAAUCAUUACAUCAUCGGAAGCAUAAGUCUGACCUGUGCCAAAUAUCUGCUUGUAAUAAAGAGUUAUUCAAAUUGUUUGCCA